AGUGAACGCUGGCGGUAGGCCUAACACAUGCAAGUCGAACGGCAGCACAGUAAGAGCUUGCUCUUACGGGUGGCGAGUGGCGGACGGGUGAGGAAUACAUCGGAAUCUACUUUUUCGUGGGGGAUAAUGUAGGGAAACUUACGCUAAUACCGCAUACGACCUACGGGUGAAAGCAGGGGAUCUUCGGACCUUGCGCGAUUGAAUGAGCCGAUGUCGGAUUAGCUAGUUGGCGGGGUAAAGGCCCACCAAGGCGACGAUCCGUAGCUGGUCUGAGAGGAUGAUCAGCCACACUGGAACUGAGACACGGUCCAGACUCCUACGAGAGGCAGCAGUCGGGAAUAUUGGACAAUGGGCGCAAGCCUGAUCCAGCCAUACCGCGUGGGUGAAGAAGGCCUUCGGGUGGUAAAGCCCUUUUGUUGGGAAAGAAAAGCAGCAGGUUAAUACCCCGCUGUUCUGACGGUACCCAAAGAAUAAGCACCGGCUAACUUCGUG
rnacentral:rRNA from 1 species